GAUGAACGCUAGCUACAGGCUUAACACAUGCAAGUCGAGGGGAAACGACAUCGAAAGCUUGCUUUUGAUGGGCGUCGACCGGCGCACGGGUGAGUAACGCGUAUCCAACCUGCCCAUCACUUGGGAAUAACCUUGCGAAAGUAAGACUAAUACCCAAUGACAUCCCACGAAGACAUCUGAAUGGGAUUAAAGAUUUAUCGGUGAUGGAUGGGGAUGCGUCUGAUUAGCUUGUUGGCGGGGUAACGGCCCACCAAGGCAACGAUCAGUAGGGGUUCUGAGAGGAAGGUCCCCCACAUUGGAACUGAGACACGGUCCAAACUCCUACGGGAGGCAGCAGUGAGGAAUAUUGGUCAAUGGGCGAGAGCCUGAACCAGCCAAGUAGCGUGCAGGAUGACGGCCCUAUGGGUUGUAAUCUGCUUUUAUAAGGGAAUAAAGUGGGUCUCGUGAGACUUUUUGCAUGUACCUUAUGAAUAAGGACCGGCUAAUUCCGUG
rnacentral:rRNA from 1 species